ensembl:snoRNA
AUCCUUCUGUAGUUCGUGAGCAUGAUGAUUGGGUGCUCACACCCAUGUGUGAGAUGUGCCACCCUCAAACCUUGUUACAAUGUCGGCACAUUACCCAUCUGACC